rnacentral:rRNA from 1 species
UACGGAGGGGACUAGCGUUGUUCGGAAUUACUGGGCGUAAAGCGCACGUAGGCGGCUUUGUAAGUCAGGGGUGAAAUCCCGGGGCUCAACCUCGGAACUGCCUUUGAUACUGCGAAUCUCGAGUCCGGAAGAGGUGAGUGGAAUUCCUAGUGUAGAGGUGAAAUUCGUAGAUAUUAGGAAGAACACCAGUGGCGAAGGCGGCUCACUGGUCCGGUACUGACGCUGAGGUGCGAAAGCGUGGGGAGCAAACAGG